AAACGAAAAAAGGAAAUUCGGAAAAGAAAUCGAGGAAUGCGAUGUCUGUUUAUCGUCGGUUGUUUGUUUGUUUGUUUCUCGUUCGUUCUUGUCGGGAUUUGUGUG
rnacentral:ribozyme from 16 species